rnacentral:tRNA from 1 species
UGGCCAAGUUGGUUAAGGCGUGCGACUGUUAAUCGCAAGAUCGUGAGUUCAACCCUCAC